GUAUCUUCGGAUAUGAGUAGAGCGGCGGACGGGUGAGUAACGCGUAGGAAUCUACCUAGUAGAAGGGGAUAGCCCGGGGAAACCCGGAUUAAUACCGUAUACCUCCUUCGGGAGAAAGAAGGCCUCUCUUUGAAGCUUUCGCUACUAGAUGAGCCUGCGUAAGAUUAGCUUGUUGGUGAGGUAAAGGCUCACCAAGGCAACGAUCUUUAGCUGGUCUGAGAGGACGAUCAGCCACAUUGGGACUGAGACACGGCCCAGACUCCUACGGGAGGCAGCAGUGGGGAAUAUUGGACAAUGGGCGCAAGCCUGAUCCAGCCAUACCGCGUGUGUGAAGAAGGCCUUCGGGUUGUAAAGCACUUUAAGCAGGGAGAAAAAGUUAUAAGCUAAUACCUUAUAACCUUGAUGUUACCUGCAGAAUAAGCACCGGCUAAUUCCGUGCCAGCAGCCGCGGUAAUACGGAAGGUGCAAGCGUUAAUCGGAAUUACUGGGCGUAAAGCGCGCGUAGGU
rnacentral:rRNA from 1 species